rnacentral:lncRNA from 1 species
GCAAUUGGAUCUUACCCGUCAUUGACUACCGGUCCAGCAUACAGCCACACCUGUGGAUAGGUCUUUGUACCAGCGGGGGGGUGAGGUUCUUUGCCUCACCUCUGUUGGCCCCCAAAUUUUAGCUGAACGACCAUGACAAGCAGAAGGGAGGAAGAUACACCAAGCCAAUUGACAGCUCCUUUUGGAAAAAUUGUACCACUGAUGACACCAUCAGCAAAAAUACCCCAACACUACCACAAGUCGCUGCAUCAACAGAUAGUUCACAAUGCAUAGAAGUGAGUUCACAAUGCAUACAAGUGAUACAUAGUCCAGGGAAGUUCUGCAAGCAGUUCAGUGAUAGCUCCUUUUGGAAAAAUUGUACCACCGAUGACACCAUCAGCAAAAAUACCCCAACACUACCACAAGUCGCUGCACCAACAGAUAGUUCACAAUGCAUACAAGUGAGCUCACAAUGCAUACAAGUGAUACAUAGUCCAGGGAAGUUCUGCAAGCAGUUCAGUGAUGGCUAUUGCAGAAGCUGUAGAUUGGUUUUAUCUUUGUCUUCACCGGCACUGGGAUGAAGAUAGGAAUUCUGGCAAUAAUGGCUAAAGAAAAAAUUAUGUAACAUUCCAGAAGGCGCUAAAAGAGAACAAUUUUCUUAACAAUUUACAUUAUCUUGAACAGAAUUAUUAAAUAUAAUGAAAAGGAAAGGUGAAAGUAAACAAACAGAUCUGUUAACCUCCUUUUUUUUCACAUUUUAAAACAAUCCUGAACAGCUGUUUACCCAAUUUAAAUUAAACCAUUUAAAUCACAUGAAUAAAAAAAAAAUAUUUGGAUCCAUUUUUUCAUGAGCGCUCAUCAUAUAUGAUAUAUGGACAUACAUACAUACAAACGUACAACAUAAAACACAAGUGUGCACACAUAAUAUACAUACAACACAUAACAUAAUAGUAAAGGCCUUAUAACUUUUUACAGGUGAAAUCUCCAUUGCAAUGUUUAAAAACUCUAUAGUCAAAAAAUAGAACUGAUCAGCAAAACAUUAACCUAGGUCUGUAUGAGCUCAAAAACCAAAAUAGAACUUCGUGAUGUGGGAAAGGGUAAUAAAUAUUACAAUAGAUAUUGAAAGAAGCAUCCUGGUUCUGUCGCAGAUGUAAGGAUAGCCAAACUGGAGUUUUGGAUAUCAGCUGUUAUGGAUUUGAGCCAAAUCAUCUUCUUUUUGGUCUGUAGAAAUCGCUUUAGUUAAUCUCUCCAGAAUCCAAAUCAGCUGCUGUUCUCCCUGUGGAAAC